rnacentral:lncRNA from 1 species
CGGGCCGGGAGCGGCGCGGCUGCACCUCAGGUUGGGAGUGUGGCGGUGCUGGCACGGCCUGGGCUGAGCGAGGGCUCGGUCCCCCUGAGUGGGACCCCAGUGCUGGGGCCUGAGCACCUCCUGUUCCAGGGCAGAGACGGGACGGGGCCUGACAGUCAGUGAAUGUCACCGAAAACAGGGAUAAAGCCCCAGGAACUGCUGGGCCCUGCUGAGAUGGCAAAGCUAGGGCGUGGGUGGGGGAUGGAUGACACGUACAAGCAUGUUCGUGCUGCGAGCAGAGGAGCCUGCCCUGGACACAUCGCCUUCAGGAGAUGUCAGGGAUGAUUGUUCUGUGCUUGGAGCACUGUCCAGUGUGGUGGGAGGCAUUUUGUUUUCUGACAGCUGCAGAACUCUUUGCCUGAGGAUCCUGUGCUGA